GUUGGGGAUUUUGCACAAUGGGCGAAAGCCUGAUGCAGCGACACUGCGUGAAGGAUGAAGGUCUUCGGAUUGUAAACUUCUUUUAUCUGGGAGUAAUCUUGAAAGUACCAGAUGAAUAAGGACCGGCUAACUACGUGCCAGCAGCCGCGGUAAUACGUAGGGUCCGAACGUUAUCCGGAAUUAUUGGGCGUAAAGAGUUCGUAGGUGGUUGGAAAAGUCGGGUAUUAAAGCCCUCGGCUCAACCGAGGAAUUGUAUCCGAAACUUUCUAGCUAGAGGUUUGCAGGGGCAGACGGAAUUCAUGGUGUAGCAGUGGAAUGCGUAGAUAUCAUGAAGAACACCAAUGGCGAAGGCAGUCUGCUAGGCAAUACCUGACACUGAGGAACGAAAGCGUGGGGAGCGAACGGGAUUAGAAACCCCAGUAGUCC
rnacentral:rRNA from 1 species